GUAGGGUGCAAGCGUUAAUCGGAAUUACUGGGCGUAAAGCGUGCGCAGGCGGUUUUGUAAGUCUGUCGUGAAAGCCCCGGGCUUAACCUGGGAAUUGCGAUGGAGACUGCAAGGCUUGAAUCUGGCAGAGGGGGGUAGAAUUCCACGUGUAGCAGUGAAAUGCGUAGAGAUGUGGAGGAACACCGAUGGCGAAGGCAGCCCCCUGGGUCAAGAUUGACGCUCAUGCACGAAAGCGUGGGGGAGCAAACAGGAUUAGAUACCCUGGUAGUCCACGCCCUAAACGAUGUCUACUAGUUGUCGGGGUUCUUAAUUGACUUGGUAACGCAGCUAACGCGUGAAGUAGACCGCCUGGGGAGUACGGUCGCAAGAUUA
rnacentral:rRNA from 1 species